rnacentral:sRNA from 1 species
UUUCUUUCUUGACCUCUUCAUCAUCUUCUCUACAAAUGCUUUUGCACGAGUGUAUCAUUAGGGAGAAGCAAAACCUUUUACUAUGUAGAAGAAGCUGCUAUGAUGAUGAGAGAAAACGGCAAUGUAGUAGUUCUUGACCAUCUCUGCUCAUGGUUGUCAGCCUUACUGAUACUAGCAUUCAGUUGUUUGAUUCCUGACUAGAUUCAGGUUGUUGUACAUGAGAGCAUAUGCAGAUGCAGUGUUGCAUCUCUGCAGGUGUGCCAGAUUGGUCAGUUCAUCAUCUCUCUCACUGGAUAGAUUUCAAUGUCUCACUGGAUAGAUUUCAAUGUCAUUCAGUUCUUAUAUCCUUAACACUUUGUCUAAUACUAUUUCUUAAGCUGCUUUCU